CAAGUCGAACGCGAAAUUUCCCUUCGGGGAGAAAGUAGAGUGGCGCACGGGUGAGUAACACGUAGGUAAUUUACCUUCGGGUGGGGAAUAACAGCCGGAAACGGCUGCUAAUACCGCAUAAUGCAGCGGCUCGACAUCGAGACAGUUGUUAAAGCGGGGGAUCGCAAGACCUCGCGCCUGAAGAGAAGCCUGCGGCAGAUUAGCUAGUUGGUAGGGUAAUGGCCUACCAAGGCGACGAUCUGUAACCGGCCUGAGAGGGCGGUCGGUCACACUGACACUGACAUACGGGUCAGACUCCUACGGGAGGCAGCAGUCGGGAAUUUUGGGCAAUGGGCGAAAGCCUGACCCAGCAACGCCGCGUGAAGGAUGAAAUCCCUCGGGAUGUAAACUUCGCAAGAAUGGGAAGAAUAAGUGCGAGCUAAUACCUCGCAUGAUGACGGUACUAUUUGUAAGCUCCGGCUAACUCCGUGCCAGCAGCCGCGGUAAUACGGGGGGAGCAAGCGUUGUUCGGAUUUACUGGGCGUAAAGGGCGCGUAGGCGGCGUGACUAGUCACUUGUGAAAUCUCCGGGCUUAACUCGGAACGGUCAAGUGAUACUGUCGUGCUAGAGUACAGAAGGGGCAACUGGAAUUCUCGGUGUAGCGGUGAAAUGCGUAGAUAUCGAGAGGAACACCUGCGGCGAAGGCGGGUUGCUGGGCUGAUACUGACGCUGAUGCGCGAAAGCCAGGGGAGCGAACGGGAUUAGAUACCCCGGUAGUCCUGGCCUUAAACGAUGAAUGCUUGGUGUCUCGGGUUACAUAGUCCCGGGGUGCCGUCGCUAACGCUUUUAGCAUUCCGCCUGGGGAGUACGGUCGCAAGACUGAAACUCAAAGGAAUUGACGGGGACCCGCACAAGCGGUGGAGCAUGUGGUUUAAUUCGACGC
rnacentral:rRNA from 1 species